AUGAAGAAAAACAAGAGUCCUCGGCCAGAUGGAUUCCCUGCUGAUUUUUAUCAGGAGUUUUGGGACCUAGUCAAAUGGGACUUAAAUGCUUUAGUGGAGGAAUUUGCCAAAGGGAACAUAAAUAUUUCUAGACUAAACUAUGGCAUUAUCACCUUGGUUCCUAAAACAUCUGAGGCUAAGCAAAUUCAAAAGUUGAGGCCAAUAUGCUUGCUCAAUGUCAGUUUUAAAAUUAUCACCAAGGUUUUGAUGAACAGACUAAUUGAAUGUGUGUCUCCUAUUAUUUCCAUAACACAAACUGAUUUUAUUAAAGGUAGACACAUAAUUGAGGGAGUGGUGAUUUUACAUGAAGCUCUAAAUACAUUUCACACUAAAAAAGAAGAUGCACUGAUUUUUAAAGUGGACUUUGAAAAAGCAUAUGAUAAGAUAAAAUGGCCCUUUGUGAUCCAAAUGCUAAACCUCAAAGGUUUCUGUGAUAAAUGGCGUGAUUGGGUGAUGGAAACAAUGAGGGGGCAUGUAGGGGUGAAUAUGAAUGAUCAAAUUGACCUGUAUUUCAAAACUCAUAAAGGUUUGAGGCAGGGGGAUGCCAUGUCACCUCUCCUGUUUGACCUGGCUACUGAUGCUCUGACUGUACUCAUGAGUAAUGCACUAGAGCAUGGUCUGGUGAAAGGUGUCCUGGGGGAUGAAAAUAAUAAAGGGGUCAACAUGCUGCAAUAUGCAACCGAUACAAUUUUCCUGAUUCCGGACGAUGUGGAUAGUGUUAAAAACCUUAAGUUCAUUUUGGGAGCAUUUGAACAAAUGUCAGGGCUCCGAAUAAAUUUUCUAAAAGUGAAUUGA
rnacentral:rRNA from 1 species